UUCAACAAAAAAUUGUCUUAAGUAUUACGCUAAUGACACUGGUAAGGCUUAUUGUUUAAUGACUUUAAUAUAUCUAUACUUUAACACGCUAGCUAUGGUCUGCAAGCAUCAAAGAAGCGAAAGGACUUGGUGUUUGAAGUUUGAGAGAACGAGAUCAAAUGUGCUGACUGCUUCGCUAACUUUAAUGCCGAAGAUUUCAACUUCAUAAACGAGGAGAGAGAAAGAGAGAACAAAUCCAUAAACGAGAGAGAAGACAACAUGACGACAUAUUCAGGAGAGAGGAACAGCAACAAACCGAGAAGGUAUCGAGUCAAUAAAGUAGAUUCAGCAGAAGUCCUAAAGCAAACUUCUUGAUUCUUAGUUUCUAUGUGGGCAGGCCCACAUGCCCGCACGAAACCUACUUAGUUAGAUGGUGGAGAUUGCAGGCCAUGAUCAAUCUACAUUGGACGGCGUAGGCUUCAUGGUUUCAUCUGGAGAUGGGAGAAUCGAAAUUGGAGGAUAUGUCUCUUCCUGCUCUAUUUGAGCAGGCUCGAAAAGUACACACCAUAGCAACAGUAGAGACUGCAGAUCCGGCGAGUUUGAAGAAGGCAUGUGAAGCAUUGGAGCAUUGUGAGGAAAUGAUAAGCAAGCUGGGACUAUUCUCAUCAAACGAGUUAAAGGAGGACAUUAGUACAACUGAUUAAAGUAUUUGCUGGUUCCUUUCUAUCUCGGGGAGUGACAGAAAAAGUUGCACAGUCUGACAGGAUUCAGGCUCUUAAGAUUUCCCAAAUGAGAUUGAAGGUAAAUCUUCUACUGACGAGUAUUAUCAGGUUUAAUUGCUAGGAUUUGGUUUAAUAUCAGGAGCCUAGAUAUUGUUCGCUUCACUGUUCUUGCUUUCACAUUCAGCGUCGCUGAGUAUUUGCUUCGAAGUGGCCUUUUCCUUGUGGUUUGAAUUGCAGGAGUUCAUUUCAGUUUGUGAAAGGCUAGAACUUGUGCCCGAAGAGGAACUGACUUCUGUUCAAGAGAGACCAGAUACAUUUGUUGCACGAAGUGAGAAAAAGGCAUGAAUCAGUCCCAUUUAUUUCUCUGUUCUACGAUAGAGGUGUUAGAAGUCCCUCAUCAGCUUAUCGUUUAUUUUUCCUUGUUUAUUAGUUAGUAUUAGAUAGCUGUUGUAAUAAAAUCCAUGUUCUUAGUCUGCUUUAGAGAUGAUGCUAGUCCACAUUAUACUCAAUCAAUAAUUGCAUUUUCUGACUUUCUUCGAAACUUCUGAAGACAUCAAAUAAUUGCAAUGCCGAGUUUUGAGAAAUCAGAAGAAUCUAUCAGCCACUUAUCACUUAGAUUUGUUGAGAAUUUGGCAUAUCCAUCUAACUUGAAUUGUCCCCUUAUUAUCCCUUCAUCUUGUUAAUUCUUAUUGAUACCAUUGUAGGUUGCAAGGUGGUUCACAAUCUAACAUGUUCAGAUGAAGGACAUUUGGAGGUUAAUUAUGACCAUCAAAGUUACACUAUCCCGAGGAAGCUUAUAGAAGGGAGAUCGUGUUGACUUACUGCAAUCAAACUUAUGAAAUUCCCUACAACAAUAAGUUGCUUUGUGAUUGCAGGCAUGGCUUACUACCAUAUAUUUGGCGCUUUGUAAGGCCUUUGAUUUGCUUGACAUGUUGAAGGAGGAAUAAAUGCUAUCUGCUCUAAGGCAAAAGCAAUUACAGGAUGGAAAUGAAGAAAUAAACCAGGAAAUCCUAGAUGAGCAUGCAAAAAGAGCGUAAAUGUGGCAUAGAAAGGCUGCUAACCAAGCACGGUUCUCAAAACCAGCACUGCCCAUCACAUGUGCCACUUUCGCCCUAGAUGUUUUGGAAGGCGGAGCAAAGGCUUCUGAAGCCCAUGAGCACAGGCAUCAACCUUUGACAUUUGGACCUGCAAGCCUCAUAAGUGGGAACUUGACUACCGAAAAGGAGAGGAUGGCUGCCCAGGUCUUUCAGCCUGGUUACAGAAGCAGUGUUGAGAGAAAUGGAAAUGAUGAAGAAAUGGCAAGAGACUCAUGGAGGAGGCCAACUCGUCGUGAUACAGAGAUGGCCGUAAUAAUAGGCCACGCAAUGAUGAUGAAGAAGAAGAUGAUGCGGCAGUGAGAAAGGCAAGAGCAUGGGAUGACUGGAAACACAAUUACCCUUGAGGAGCUGGCAACAAGAAACUCACCCCAUGUGGUUAAAGCCCAUGCCAAUCCCAAACAACUCUCCUAAUUCUAAGAUGGGUGAGGUUUGUAUAUAGUGUCAACCUUUUACUAUUGAAGUAAGGUGUACCUCAAAAUUAUGUGAAAAAUGUAGUUUCAGUGCUGUAAAGCCAUGCAAUGACAUGAAAAUAUAUUGUUUACCCCAAUUAUAAAUUUUAAAGUUUAAAAAA